rnacentral:rRNA from 1 species
AUUGAACGCUGGCGGCAGGCCUAACACAUGCAAGUCGAACGGUAACAGGAAGACGCUUGCUUCUUUGCUGACGAGUGGCGGACGGGUGAGUAAUGUCUGGGAAACUGCCUGAUGGAGGGGGAUAACUACUGGAAACGGUAGCUAAUACCGCAUAACGUCGCAAGACCAAAGAGGGGGACCUUCGGGCCUCUUGCCAUCGGAUGUGCCCAGAUGGGAUUAGCUAGUAGGUGGGGUAACGGCUCACCUAGGCGACGAUCCCUAGCUGGUCUGAGAGGAUGACCAGCCACACUGGAACUGAGACACGGUCCAGACUCCUACGGGAGGCAGCAGUGGGGAAUAUUGCACAAUGGGCGCAAGCAUGAUGCAGCCAUGCCGCGUGUAUGAAGAAGGCCUUCGGGUUGUAAAGUACUUUCAGCGGGGAGGAAGGGAGUAAAGUUAAUAACUUUGCUAAUUGACGUUACCCGCAGAAGAAGCACCGGCUAACUCCGUG